rnacentral:rRNA from 1 species
UUUGCUUACGGGGGGCAGCAGUGGGGAAUAUUGCACAAUGGGGGAAACCCUGAUGCAGCAACGCCGCGUGAGUGAAGAAGUAUUUCGGUAUGUAAAGCUCUAUCAGCAGGGAAGAGAAUGACGGUACCUGACUAAGAAGCCCCGGCUAACUACGUGCCAGCAGCCGCGGUAAUACGUAGGGGGCAAGCGUUAUCCGGAUUUACUGGGUGUAAAGGGAGCGUAGACGGCUGUACAAGUCUGAAGUGAAAGCCCGUGGCUCAACCGCGGAACUGCUUUGGAAACUGUAAAGCUGGAGUACUGGAGAG